GACGAACGCUGGCGGCGCGCUUAACACAUGCAAGUCGAACGGAAAGGCCUGCUUUCCCUUGUGGUUUGCGGGUACUCGAGUGGCGAACGGGUGAGUAACACGUGAGUGAUCUGCCCCCAACUUGGGUAUAAGCCUGGGAAACUGGGUCUAAUUCCCGAUAGGACUGCAGGGUGGUUCCUGCGGUGGAAAACGAUUUUCUAGUGGUUGGGGAUGAGCUCGCGGCCUAUCAGCUUGUUGGUGGGGUCAUGGCCUACCAAGGCGGGGACGGGUAGCCGGCCUGGGAGCGGGGACAGGGACAGUGAGACAGGGAUCAGGCCCAGACUGCUACGGGCGGUAGGAGUGGGGAGACAUACAGCAUGGGCGGAAGCCUGAUGCAGCGAGGCCGCGUGGGGGAUCACGGCAUUCGGGAUGUCAACUACUUGCGAGCAAGAGGAGGACACCUGGUUGGAAGGGUGGUGACGGUAGUGGUAGAAGAAGCACCGGCUAACUACGUG
rnacentral:rRNA from 1 species